GGCAACCAGGACCCUGAUUAAAUAUCUCCUGAGGGCCCUGGAGAGCCUGUGAAACGAUCUCCCAGACCCAGAAGGAGAUCCUGGCACCAACAGGACCUGAGCUGAAAAAUCAAAAGGUGCGGAAUAUAAUCCAAUAACAGAUCCAGCUUAGAAAUCUCAACAGGUAAUGAGACUCACAUCAACAAGAGCUGAAUUCUAUCCCAAAAGAAUGCUGUGUGCAUAAUGUAUGAAGUUUUCAGAAAAACAGUCUUGAACAGACAAUUCGUCUGACCUUGGAUAAACCAGCGAUGAAAGCUGCCCAUGGAAGUACUUGAUCCAUUCUGCUCCUUAAGCUGAAAAUCCUACUUGGUCCAGGGACUCACUCCCCUGUGCUUCAGGGACUGAUGGAGCUAAAACCGCCACCCUUUCCUGGCACUCAAUCACAGGGGAUCUUCCUGAAUCAGGGAUCAAACCCGUGUCUCCUGCAUUGCAGGCAGAUUCUUUACCACUGAGCCACUGGAAAAGCCCCACCCCUUCCACAGGAACCAAGGCGCUUGCUUUCAUUCUACAACAGCCCUCCUGCAAGCUUAACGUAACUUCAA
ensembl:lncRNA